rnacentral:rRNA from 1 species
GUUUUGAUCCUGGCUCAGAUUGAACGCUGGCGGCAUGCUUUACACAUGCAAGUCGAACGGCAGCACGAGUGCUUUGCACUUGGUGGCGAGUGGCGAACGGGUGAGUAAUACAUCGGAACGUGUCUUAAAGUGGGGGAUAACGCAUCGAAAGAUGUGCUAAUACCGCAUAAUCUCUAAGGAGAAAAGUAGGGGAUCGUAAGACCUUACGCUUUNGGAGCGGCCGAUGUCUGAUUAGCUAGUUGGUAGGGUAAAGGCUUACCAAGGCGACGAUCAGUAGUUGGUCUGAGAGGAUGGCCAACCACACUGGGACUGAGACACGGCCCAGACUCCUACGGAAGGCAGCAG